rnacentral:lncRNA from 1 species
CCUGCUUGAAUUAUCGGAAUUGACCGACCAACUGGUAGUAUUGCAUUGCAUGCAGGUGGUCAACCAUGGCAUCUCCGAGCCGAUGCUGCAUGAAAUGUACGCGGUGUGCCAUGAGUUCUUCGAUAUGCCUGCGGAGGACAAGGCGGAGUUCUUCUCUGAAGACAGAAGCGAACGCAACAAGCUCUUCUGCGGCUCCGCCUUCGAGACCCUAGGCGAGAAGUACUGGAUUGACGUCCUCGAACUCCUCUACCCCUUGCCUUCGGGCGACACCAAGGACUGGCCCCACAAGCCACAGAUGCUCCGGUAAUAAUAAUUAAGCUGCAACCAUUUAGGCCGACGAAUCGAAUGGCUUGCUUUCAUGUCAACUGAUCUUUGCGCCUUCGAUUCUAAUCUGCAGGGAGGUUGUUGGGAACUACACCUCGUUGGCAAGAGGCGUGGCCAUGGAGAUCCUGCGGCUGCUGUGCGAGGGACUGGGACUCCGGCCAGACUUCUUUGUCGGGGACAUCAGCGGAGGCCGCGUGGUCGUCGAUAUCAACUACUACCCGCCUAGCCCGAACCCGAGCAGGACGUUGGGCCUGCCGCCACACUGUGACCGGGACCUUAUGACCGUCCUCCUCCCCGGGGCCGUUCCUGGCCUCGAGAUCGCCUACAAGGGCGGCUGGAUCAAGGUCCAGCCCGUGCCAAACUCCUUGGUUAUCAACUUCGGCCUACAGCUCGAGGUGACUUUUUUGCAUCGUCGUUAAGUGUAAUUACUAGUACUGAAUAUCCAGUAAUAAUAUAAUUCAGAUUGCUCAUUUCUUGGUUUUGCACGUAUAUACACACUAUAUUCAUGCAUGCAGGUCGUGACCAACGGGUAUCUGAAGGCUGUCGAGCACCGCGCGGCCACCAACUUUGCCGAGCCCCGGCUGUCAGUGGCCUCGUUCAUUGUGCCGGCGGACGACUGCGUCGUCGGCCCUGCGGAGGAGUUCGUCAGCGAGGACAACCCGCCACGCUACCGCACCCUAACCGUCGGCGAGUUCAAGCGCAAGCACAACGUUGUCAAUCUGGAUUCCUCAAUCAAUCAGAUCAUUAACAUCAAUAACAACCAGAAGGGAAUAUGAAGCAGAAACAGGAGAAAGAGGAUUUGCAUCACUUCCUCGAUCGUUCGAGAAAGGCCAAGUGAUGCCAAGUUUUAUUCCAAUGUCUCUCAAGUCGCGACGGGUGUCAGUUACAUCUAGCUGAUACGAGAUAUUUAGUCGUGACAUGUGAUGAGAUCGUACGUACCUGUCGUACGUGUUGGUGAUACCAAGCAAUACAAAU